GACGAACGCUGGCGGCGUGCUUAACACAUGCAAGUCGAACGGAAAGGCCCUGCAUUUGUGGGGUGCUCGAGUGGCGAACGGGUGAGUAACACGUGAGUAACCUGCCCUUGACUUUGGGAUAACUUCAGGAAACUGGGGCUAAUACCGGAUAGGAGCUCCUGCUGCAUGUUGGGGGUUGGAAAGUUUCGGCGGUUGGGGAUGGACUCGCGGCUUAUCAGCUUGUUGGUUGGGUAGUGGCUUACCAAGGCUUUGACGGGUAGCCGGCCUGAGAGGGUGACCGGACAAAUUGGAACUGAGAGACGGCACAGACUCCUACGGGAGGCAGCAGUGGGGAAUAUUGCUCAAUGGGCGGAAGCCUGAUGCAGCAACGCCGCGUGCGGGAUGAAGGCCUUCGGGUUGUAACCCGCUUUCGCCUGGGACGAAGCGUGAGUGACGGUAAUGGGUAAAGAAGCACCGGCUAACUACGUG
rnacentral:rRNA from 1 species